CAUAGCUACCUCAAUUACCUCGUACCCCUGCACAUCAACUCGAGAGAGCCAGAACAGAACAUGGCGACACUGGGGUGAUGAGGUGUGGUGGUGGUGGCUGAUAUCAGAUGGAUCCUGACGCCUAAAUGGCGCUCAUUUGAUGGUGCUCUCUGAUGAUGCGUCACAUGCUACAGUACUUCAUUAUAGUGAAGCUGGACAGCGCUCGCGGUUCAUUAAAAAGCAAUAUGUGGAGGUGUGAUUGGCCAUUUCCUGCAGAUAAGUAUCUCCUCAUACAUUUAAAGAAGACAGCCGGACUAGACUGGAUCGUGGAUUCUCUUCAGCUGCAAUGUUGGGGGCAAACAGAGGAUGGCUGUGGAGAGGGCAACUGGGGAUCUUUGUCCGGUACUGCAUGAAGAAGGAUGAGACACACACUUCCUGGUCGUGUAGUCCAGUGAGGGAGAUGUGGAAAACAGAAUGUCACGUGUAGAAUCUUCAAGUAGCUUUGAAAUCAGAGAGCGGUAGUUAGAUGUCAAAGAAAGAGGGUAGACUGAUCCAACGUGCCACUACAUCAAGUGUUUGAGAAGACGGACAAGGCCAUCAUUGAUCCUGUCAAGUUCUCAUUUCUCUUGAAUAGCUGUCCAUUGAACGAAGUUAGAAUAAAACUGUCCUGUGUAGCCUCAUAAUGGCCCGUCUCCUCUUGAGAGGAGAGAUGAAGAGACUUGAUUGAUGCUAAGAGGCCUAGUCUCAAUCAUAUUGUUGACCUCCAUCUCUUACCAGUCUCCCUGACACAGUCUCACUCCUUUCUGAGACAAAGCACUCUCUACCUCCCCAAACCCCAGCCAAUUGAUUGGCCCGCCAACUCCAGAAGGCCCCAUUUGAAUGAGCUCCAACCCACUGGCACAGCCUCCUGUAAUGCCUAAUGAUGGACUAAUUCCGCAACCCUGUGGAAUUCCAGAAUCCCAAUCAUGCUCCAAAGAACCAUAUUGGCCAAUUAAAAUGGGUAAGCUUGUUCAGAGCCAAAGAUAGCCAUUCAUGGUAAGGGAGAGAAGGGUUGCGUUCGGUUGGACCUGUCUCUGUUCUAUUCAUGCACCCCAUCCAUUACUGAGCUCCACCAAACAGAUUUGCUUUUGGCACAAAUGUCGGUGCUGGAUGGAUGGAUUUUAGUUAUGUGGUCCUGGUAGUCAAUGCUUAUAUGGGACUGUUUUGUUUCAAUGCGUUUGUGCUCUGUCUGUAGCCUAGAACAUGCAAUCACUCUCAGCUCUGUUCUCAGAAUUGGAGGUGAGACAUUGAGAGUCAUUUUUCCAUGAAUGUUUAAAGCUUGAAACACUGCCAGUAAACAUUGAAUUUGUGUACAGAUAUCUAAGAAAAAGUUUGACCAACCAGAAUCUCUUAUUGAGCAGUUGAAACUGUUUAACAUGAUUAAGUUAUUUUGUUAACAAAGAUUAAAAGAAAAAUAUUGUCAUGCCUGGGAGCAUCACAGUGAAAACUAUGUUUGUUUACACAGUCAUAUUUUCAGGAAC
rnacentral:lncRNA from 1 species